rnacentral:lncRNA from 1 species
GAGUGUCUUGCUCCGCCUUCAGCUGAGGUGUGGGCGCAGCCCUUUUCCACGAGGAGCUCUGGUGAACAAGUGCGAGUCCUUUACAUGUGGUGCUCUGCAAGCAAGUGAAAAUAGACUAAGCUCAAAGGAAAGAAAAGCGCUUGAUGACAAUUUUACCAAAAUGCUACCAUGUCCAUUGAUCACCUUUGAGAUUAAAAGAAAUAUUGUGAGGAAGACUGGUGUAUGAUCAGUCAGAUUAAUGAUUACUUAAGGUGAAAUGGAAGCUAAAAAAGAUUCAACAUCAGUCAUCUAUGGAAAAUGAAUAGGUGAUCUUCUAGGUAUGUUCCAAGCUUUAGUAAUUCAUGACCUAAGGAAUAACUGUAGUCAUGAAGUUAAGAUGUAAAUGUUUAAUUACAAUAAUUAUCAACAAUGUUUCUGUACACUAUAGUAGAGAAGCUAGAGAAAAGUGUAUGUGAGUGUAAAACACUUAAAGUUGAUAUACAAGAGAAAUGUUUUAUUAGUUUAUUGGAAGAUAUUUCAUUUUUCUCAUACAAAAGUAUUACCUAGUGAUAUCUAAUGACUUUCCAUGUUUUGUUGUUAUUAUCAUUUUGACCUCUUGUGUUUCAUAAUAUGUUUGCAAACAAUUACAUCCAUCUAGGGGAAAUUGUUUAGAGACCUAACAGCCUUCUAUGAGUCAAAAUCAUUUGUGCAUAGAACAAGUAAAAAUCAUUUAACAUAUAGGAAUAUAACAUGUAUAGCUGGUAAAUCUGAAAUUGCUAAUGUAGAUUGCCACUCCAGUCAAUAUAUAUCAAACAUUUCUAUCAAAUGUACCAUCUAUCAUGUAUGUGCAUUGCUUUUGUAGUUUUUAUUUCCCUUUUUAUUGUAGAAAGUAUAUAUUACUGUGACUAAAAACUACUCUUUGGGGAAUACAGUGGUUUCCAGGUCAGUGGAAAUGUGGAUUUAAAUAUUAAAAAGUGGAGUAGUUUAACCCUAGUUUGACCUUUAUCACCUCUCAGGUGAAUUGGGUGUAUUUGAAAGAAUGUAUCUGAAAAACAACAGAGUAGCGAAAAAAAUUACAUCUGUGUAACCCUGUGGUCAAUCCAAUAACAGUAUUUUUAAUGAAUAAGUUCAAAACAGUAUACAUGUGUGUAUGUCCACUGUGUCUCUUUGUUUGUGCAUAUUUGUAUUUAUGUACUUAUGUAUUUUCAAUGCAUUGUCUGUCUUGUGAAUAUUUCAGUCUUUCAAGACAUCAUUUGCUUUUUCUACCAAAGUAUCAAUCUCCAUUUAUAUUACUCUAGCAAGUAAACUUCAAGCUUCAAAUAAGUUAAGAAAUACUGCCAUGAAAGCUGGAAAGAAGGAGUCUAAAGACCAACUUAUUGGAAUUCCUGCUAUGGCUCAGUGGGUUAAGAACCUAACUAGCAUCCAUGAGGAUGUGGGGUUCAUUCCUUGGCCUUGCUCAGUGGAUUAAGGAUCCGGUGUUGCUGUGAGCUCUGGUGUAGGUUGCAGACACGGCUCGGAUCCUAUGUUGCUGUGGCUGUGGUAUAGGGCCACAGCUGCAGCUCCAAUUCUACUCCUGGCCUGGGAACUUCCUUAUGCCAUGGAUGUGGCCCUAAAAAAGCAAAAAAAAAAAAAAA